rnacentral:misc_RNA from 1 species
UCCGGUUUGUCACCGGCAGUCUCGCAUGAGUCCCCAACUAAAUGCUGGCAACAUGCGACGGGGGUUGCGCUCGUUGCGGGACUUAACCCAACAUCUCACGACACGAGCUGACGACAGCCAUGCACCACCUGUGAUGGUGUCCCGAAGGAAAGGUGUGUUUCCACACCGGUCACCAACAUGUCAAGCCCAGGUAAGGUGGGGAUGACGUUCGUCUGAC